AUGCUGUAUAAAGGACAUAAGGAGUGUGUCAUUUUAAUAGCGGCGAUGAUAUUGUGCUUGGUUCAGUGUGUUAGGAUAGAUUAUCGUUGGUAGAGCGGGGCACCACCUCAGUGUAAUAUAUCAAGUUAUUUAUAUUACAGCAACACUUACAAUUUAACUCAUCCGUUUCCCUUGAAGCAAUAGUUCUAACACCUUUAAUUUAAUGAUUGAAUGUUUCCUUCCUUCUUUUUUCAUUUCCUUGUUUUCUCUUUCACCCAUUUUCUCUGAUUCCUCGUUUUUCUUCAGUUUUCUCUCUCCUCCUCUUCCUCCUCCUCUGUCUUCAUCCCUUCCUUCCUUUUAAUAAGUCCAAGUUAUCUUUUGCGUGACGUUCUUUCUGGUGGUCAAAUCUUGCAUUUAUUUCCUUUCGUUCAUUCUCUCUCUUCCUCCUCCUCCUGUCUUUCUUUAUCCUUUCCUUUCUUUUAAUAAGUCCAAGUUAUCUUUUGCUUAAUUAACGUUUAUAAUUCUUUCUGGUGGUCAAAUCUUGCAUCUCAUUUCCUUUCGUUCAUUCUCUCUCCUCCUCCUCCUCCUCCUCCUCCUCCUCUGUCUUUCUUUAUCCUUUCCUUUCUUUUAAUAAGUCCAAGUUAUCUUUUGCUUAAUUAACGUUUAUAAUUCUUUCUGGUGGUCAAAUCUUGCAUCUCAUUUCCUUUCGUUCAUUCUCUCUCCUCCUCCUCCUCCUCCUCCUCCUCCUCCUCUGUCUUUCUUUAUCCUUUCCUUUCUUUUAAUAAGUCCAAGUUAUCUUUUGCUUAAUUAACGUUUAUAAUUCUUUCUGGUGGUCAAAUCUUGCAUCUCAUUUCCUUUCGUUCAUUCUCUCUCCUCCUCCUCCUCCUCCUCCUCUGUCUUUCUUUAUCCUUUCCUUUCUUUUAAUAAGUCCAAGUUAUCUUUUGCUUAAUUAACGUUUAUAAUUCUUUCUGGUGGUCAAAUCUUGCAUCUCAUUUCCUUUCGUUCAUUCUCUCUCCUCCUCCUCCUUCUCCUCUCUGUAUCUUCAUCCCUUCCUUCCUUUUAAUAAGUCCAAGUUAUCUCUUGUGUGACGUUCUUUCUGGUGGUCAAAUCUUGCAUCUCAUUUCCUUUCGUUCAUUCUCUCUCCUCCUCCUCCUCCUCCUCUCUGUCUUUCUUCAUCCCUUCCUUUCUUUUAAUAAGUCUUAAGUUAUCUUUUGCGUGACGUUCUUUCUAAUGGUCAAAUCUUGCAUCUCAUUUCCUUUCGUUCAUUCUCUCUCCUCCUCCUCCUCCUCCUCCUCUGUCUAUCUUCAUUCCAUCCUUCCUUUUAAUAAGUCCAAGUUAUCUUUUGCUUAAUUAACGUUUAUAAUUCUUUCUGGUGGUCAAAUCUUGCAUCUCAUUUUCCUAUCGUCCAUUCUCUCUCCUCCUGCUCAUAAUCCAAUUCCUUCUAUUCUCCUUUAUUCCUUUUUCACUUUCCCUCCUUCCCUUUUCCAUUCCCCCUCCCCGACUUUCCUCCAUUCUUUCCUCCUCUAUUCUUCCUUCAUCUCCUUCUCCUUUUUCUCCUUUCACUCCUCCUCCUCCUCUGUCUAUCUUCAUCCCUUCCUUCCUUUUAAUUAAUGUCUAAGUUAUCUUUUGCUCAAGGUUCUUUCCAGUGUGUUUGUGGUGCCCGGCUCUGCUUGCUAGUUUUUUUUGUCACUGUAUAAUUGUCAAUCCUAGCUAGUUUUGUCACUGUAUAAUUGUCAGUCCUAGUUUGCUUUGUCCCUGUAUAAUGGUCGGUCCCAGCCAGGCGCCUCUUCCAUGUAAAGAUAUCGGCAGCUUCAAGCCUUGCCGAUAUCUCAAUCCGUACGUGAAUGUAAAUUAACCGAAAUCCUUGUUACUAAGCCCUGCACGGUGCUCUCUCACAUAAUGCUUCUUUAAAUUUUCAGUCUCACUUAAUUUCCGGGGUUAGUAAUAUAUUUUGCCAUAAGUUAACUCCCCGUGAUGGCCAGUUUCAUGUACUAUAUAUAAGUAAUUUGCCUUUUGCAUGGCUAUAAUUCUGCAUCCGUGUCUAAGGCCCAGUUUCACAGUUCCUCAUGAUGGGUUAGUAAGCUCCGAAACCAAUACCAGAGCCUUCGAAAUUUCCUUGUACGGUGUCUGGAGUUUAUAUUCAAGUUCACAAAUUUGACGAGACUAUACAGGAAAGGUCUUGUGUGUUUAUGCUACGAAGGAAAGGGAGGAGAAGGGAGAUGAGAUUAGGAGACGAGUGAGCCGAGAUCCUGUUUAUAUUCAAGUUCACAAAUUUGACAAGACUAUACAGGAAAGGUCUUAUAUUGUCGUGAUACGAAGGAAAGGGAAGAGAAGGGAGAUGAGAUUGGGAGACGAGUGAGCCGAGAUCCUGUUUAUAUUCAAGUUCACAAAUUUGACAAGACUAUACAGGAAAAGCUGUGUUUAUGAUAUGAAGGAAAGGGAAGAGAAGGGAGAUGAGUAAGCUGAGAUCCUGUUUAUAUUCAAGUUCACAAAUUUGACAAGACUAUACAGGAAAAGCUGUGUUUAUGAUAUGAAGGAAAGGGAAGAGAAGGGAGAUGAGUAAGCUGAGAUCCUGUUUAUAUUCAAGUUCACAAAUUUGACAAGACUAUACAGGAAAAGCUGUGUUUAUGAUAUGAAGGAAAGGGAAGAGAAGGGAGAUGAGUAAGCUGAGAUCCUGUUUAUAUUCAAGUCCACAAAUUUGACGACACAAUACAGGAAAAGCUCUUUGUAUUUAGUGUGUCAUCGAAGACCGCGCCAUUUUGAACAGUAUGGGAUUCUAUAGCUUGGUUCGGGAGUGUUACAAAGACCAUGAUGGACUGUGGAAGCGGCCCUUAAUGUUCCCUUUUCUAAUAUGCCUCUCUGUUUUUGCAGGAUGCCGCGGACGGACCAUGCAGAGGACUCAUCGCGACGACACCAACGGUUUGGUUAAGUGGGUUCUCUUGUGUGUGCGUCUGUGUGUGAAUGGCAGGCCUGUCGUAUGAUUGUGUGUGUGUGUGCGUUGGCGUUAUGCCUUCGCACUAUUAUUUUGUUAGGAUGUAUUUUUGUGUGUGAACUUUUUGCACGUAAUCUUUUUUUAUACCCAUAGCUAGCGUUUGUUUGUGUGGCAGUGUUCCGGGAGAUGGACGCCGGGGGACAUGGGCUUGGGGAGGCGCACAUGACCUCCUCUGUCCGUGACCUCUUCAGCUGGGGAGACCGGUAAGCAUUUUGAUAUAGUUGUGUGGAUAAUGGAUAUUGUUUUUUACAGCUAAAGAAACCACUCUAGGGCAACGAGAAAAUAGGUUUAGAAAAAGCCCGUUAACCCCUUCCCGGCAGCAGGGCUGACAUGAUUUUCCACCAAGUUUAGUAGAAAACACUCACUUGUCAAUCCUGUGUUGUGAGAAUUACUGUUUGGAACACUCUCAUACACGGGAGAUUUUAGUGCGGCUGGUGGUCGCAGUGAGCGUUUAGCACCACCAGCAAAUACGCCUAACGCCCACUGCAAGCGUUUAGCAAUGAAAGGGUUAAGUUGGACUGGUUAUAUGUAUAUUGAUACAUUCAAAUGAAGGUUUAGAGUGUAACCACUGAUGGUACAUGAGUCAGGAUCAUCAAAAUCAUCCAAAAAAAUCAGCAUCUAUAUCCUCAGCUGCCAAAGGAGUCAUUUCCUCCGGCUCAAGAGGUCUCUUACUCCUUGACAUGAUAGACUAUAAUAAUAAAAGAAACUAGGAAAAAAUGCAAAAAUUUCCAGUGUCAGCUGAUGUGCGUUGCAUAUGUAGUGCGGCGACGGCCUGAUGAACGAGCCUCCCAUAACCCACUUAGCCAGGGGGGCACCUCUUUGGCCGACUCGGUAAGGAGUGGCUCUCCCGUCACGCUGGUCGCGGGUUCAAUCCCAGGCAGCCGGCGAAUACCCUGAUCUUGAUUAAUUUCUCGUGUUAUUUCGAUACACGCAGAGGACGUGUUGAGAAAUAGGAAGGAUUUAGAAAAGAAGCUCGUCGGGGCAUUACACAUAUCCAACAAGGCACAAGGGUGACUGUCCUUGAGAGGCAAUGUUGGCAAGUGUCCAGGGGUUUGAGAUGCCUAAUAAUAAUUUAUUUUGUUCAUUUUGUCAGUAGUAAGGAAUCUUCUAUUUUUUUGGGGGGGUCGGCCCAGCCCGUUCUGGCGCAGGCGAGUGUUUAUAGUGGCGCCAUGAUACUAUCUAAUGAGGGCAAAUGAGAGCAAACGUCUAUACACAGACGCGCCGACAAAAAGUCCCAAUUUUCAAACGUCUCUAUAUAGAUCCUCCGCAGGGAAGGGCUUAACCCGUGGGCUUGGGCCGUGGGGAAGCCGAGAAGUGGCCGAGAAAUGGCAAAAUUACAUUGCUUUUUGAGACUAAGAAAAGAGCAUGGAACGUACAUCAGAGCACUUGCUCCUCUCAUAACUAUAAAGCCAUUAAGAAUAUUUCUUUUACUCAAACUCCACUCUGUGUGGUGUUUGUCACAAAAUAAACAGUCUUGUGACGCGUGACAUCUAGCCGAGAGUCGCUUGUUGUCUACUUUAAAGAAUUUGACGAGUGAUUACUGUAUGGAUAGCUAAUUCAGUCUGCCGUGACCUUACUGCACCACUUAUCAUGCAUGGUGGGUUGCGGUAUGCCACAACCACCUACAAUUAGCUUGAAUCAGGGGUUUUAUGGCGAGCCCUUUUUAGGGUCCACUGUACCACAGCCAUGACUUGUGAAACCCCAGAAAAGGGUCUGCCGAUGUUCUUGGGUUAAUUGCUGCUCCUUCAGAGACAAAAGUUAUGAGCGGCUGAAAGAGAGGUCAGUUUCGGGAGGAGAGGUGUCUCGAUACGUCAUUCCUCGUGAGAGAAUACAAGUCGAAGGCAGGAGGAGAUAUAGACACAGGAAGGAUGCUCCAGAGUUUACCAGUGUAAGGGAUGAAAGAAUGAAGAUGCUGGUUAACUCUUGCAUAAGGGGUUUGGACAGUAUAGGGAUGAAAGAAUGAAGAUGCUGGUUAACUCUUGCAUAAUGGGUUUGGACAGUAUAGGGAUGAAAGAAUGAAGAUGUUGGUUAACUCUUGCAUAAUGGGUUUGGACAGUAUAGGGAUGAAAGAAUGAAGAUGUUGGUUAACUCUUGCAUAAUGGGUUUGGACAGUAUAGGGAUGAAAGAAUGAAGAUGUUGGUUAACUCUUGCAUAAUGGGUUUGGACAGUAUAGGGAUGAAAGAAUGAAGAUGCUGGUUAACUCUUGCAUAAGGGGUUGGACAGUAUAGGGAUGAAAGAA